GAUGAACGCUGGCGGCGUGCCUAACACAUGCAAGUCGAACGAAGCGCUUCCGCCUGAUUUUCUUCGGAGAUGAAGGCGGCUGCGACUGAGUGGCGGACGGGUGAGUAACGCGUGGGCAACCUGCCUUGCACUGGGGGAUAACAGCCAGAAAUGGCUGCUAAUACCGCAUAAGACCGAAGCGCCGCAUGGCGCUGCGGCCAAAGCCCCGGCGGUGCAAGAUGGGCCCGCGUCUGAUUAGGUAGUUGGCGGGGUAACGGCCCACCAAGCCGACGAUCAGUAGCCGACCUGAGAGGGUGACCGGGCCACAUUGGGACUGAGACACGGCCCAGACUCCUACGGGAGGCAGCAGUGGGGAAUAUUGCACAAUGGGGGAAACCCUGAUGCAGCGACGCCGCGUGAAGGGAUGAAGUAUUUCGGGUAUGUAAACUUCUAUCAGCAGGGAAGAAGAUGACGGUACCUG
rnacentral:rRNA from 1 species